rnacentral:rRNA from 1 species
UGCGUAGGCGGAUAAGUAAGUCGGUGGUGAAAUCUUUCGGCUUAACCGGGAAACUGCCAUUGAUACUGUUUAUCUUGAGUUCGGUAGAGGUAGGCGGAAUGUGUAAUGUAGCGGUGAAAUGCUUAGAUAUUACACAGAACACCGAUUGCGUAGGCAGCUUACUAUGCCGCGACUGACGCUCAGGCACGAAAGCGUGGGUAGCGAACA